rnacentral:tRNA from 2 species
GCGGGAAUAGCUCAGUGGUAGAGCAUCACCUUGCCAAGGUGAGGGUCGCGGGUUCAAGUCCCGUUUCCCGCUCCA